CGUGUUUUCUUUCAUUCCCCA
rnacentral:miRNA from 1 species